UGUGAACAAUGUAAGGAAAAGGUAGAACCAGUGAUAGCACUUUGCACUGUGACGGUCCAGGUGAGGGAAAGGGAGAGACGACGUGAGGGAAAGCUUCUUGAAGGUGGUGCCAUUUGGGCUGGUUCUUGAAGGAUAAGCCGAAAAGGUGCAAGGAGAAGAAGAACAAACCAGGGCAGGAUGUGAGCGUCGGUCCGGCAUAAAUCUCAGCACUUGAGUCUGACCGGAAUGUGGCUUUUGCUGUGUCUUCUUAAUUCCUUUAUUUUAUUGGCUCCUUUAUUAAAGCCUGUACUUGGUGCUGAA